rnacentral:ncRNA from 1 species
GCGGUAAUUUUAAGAAUGAAUAGCAAACACGUCUGAAGCGUCUAUUGGAUGAUCAAGAGAGACAGCGGUUGGUGAAAGCUGUCAGCCAUCCAUAUUCCAGCGCCUUAGUGGGUAGUGAUGAACUGCACGGCCACUGACCGUUAUCAGUUAUUGAGGGUGGCGCAUAGGCGUCAAACUUGGGUGGCACCGCGGAAUGGCCUUUCGUCCCAACG